rnacentral:rRNA from 1 species
AUAGUUUGAUUCUAACUAAAUUAUUAAAAAUUAUUUUAUGCCUCAUGUAUAGAAUAUCUUAAAGUAUAAAAUUUAAUAUAACAUUUAUGAUUAAUUUAAAUUUACAGUGGAUAAAACUAAUCAAUAUAUGAAAAUAUGAAUUGGUAAAUAUAAUAUAUGUCGGCAAAAUUCGUGCCAGCAGCCGCGGUUAGACGAUAGACUUAUAAUAAAAAAAAUUCUAUAAGAUAUUAUAAAUGUACUAAUAGGUUUAAUUUCAACUUAUAAAAAGAACCAAAAAUAUCAUUAUUAAAUUAUUAAUUAAAACAAGGAUUAGAUACCCUUUUAUUAAUAACCUAUAAAAAGAAUUGGAAAAUACGAACCACAGUUUAAACACCAAAGAAUUUGGCGGUGUCUUAUUUUAUUAGGGGAACCUGUCCCAUAAACGAUAAUCCACGAAAAUCUUACCUAAUUUUGAAACUCAGUUAGUGUACUGCCGUCUAAAGUAUACCUUUAUGAGUGUAUACUAAAAAUUAUAAAUAAAUAUUACGUCAGGUCAAGGUGCAGCUUAUAAUUAGGUGGCGAUGGGUUACAAUCUUAAUAUAGAUACGGAAAAAUAUAAUAAUUAUAUUUUAAAGGUGGACUUAAUAGUAAUUAAAAUAAUAUUUUAAUGAAUUUAAUACUAAGACAUGCACAUAUCGCCCGUCACUCCUUCACUGGAUAAGUCGUAACAUAGUAGAUGUAACGGAAGUUGCAUCUGUC